rnacentral:rRNA from 1 species
GACGUAGGGCGCGAGCGUUGUCCGGAUUUAUUGGGCGUAAAGAGCUCGUAGGUGGUUUGUCGCGUCUGCUGUGAAAACCCGAGGCUCAACCUCGGGCCUGCAGUGGGUACGGGCAGACUAGAGUGCGGGUAGGGGAGAUUGGAAUUCCCGGUGUAGUGGUGAAAUGCGUAGAUAUCGGGAGGAACACCAGUGGCGAAGGCGACUACCUGGCCUGUUCUUGACGCUGAGGCGCGAAAGCUAGGGGAGCAAGCGGG